rnacentral:lncRNA from 1 species
UUAUGGGAGUUACACGAACUGAUAGGUGUCAUUUUUAGGAGAAUUUAGAAAUUUGAAUCCUCAAAUUUGGAGGUCAAAUGAAUAUUCUAGAAUUAUUUUAUAUCUGUGAUAAAAUAAAAAUGGCAAAGGAGUUUACCAGAGAUGGGAUAAAUUACGCACUGGGCGUGGAAUAGCGAGUGGGCGAGCCCAGUGGCUCAACCCCGUAUGCACAUGGGCCACGUCAAUGUCGCAUCCCAGUGAAUACGGCUUCGGUUGAGGGAAACGACUUCCCACGUCCCCCUCUCCACUUAAUGGGUGGCCCCGACCGCUGGUCGCUCGAGUGGGCGAGCCCAGUGGCUCAGCCCCGUAUGCACAUGGGCCACGUCGAUGUCGCAUCCCAGUGAAUAUGCCUUCGGUUGAGGGAAACGACUUCCCACGUCCCCCUCUCCACUUAAUGGGUGGCCCCGACCGCUGGUCGCUCA